GAUGAACGCUAGCGGCAGGCCUAAUACAUGCAAGUCGAACGGUGUCUUCGGACAUAGUGGCGCACGGGUGCGUAACACGUAUGCAACCUACCUUACAUUGGGGGAUAGCCUUUCGAAAGGGAGAUUAAUACCGCAUAAGACAGUAGCUGGGCAUCCAGCAGCUGUUAAAGAUUUAUCGAUGUAAGCUGGGCAUGCGUCCAAUUAGCUAGUUGGUGAGGUAACGGCUCACCAAGGCAAUGAUUGGUAGGGGAACUGAGAGGUCAAUCCCCCACACUGGCACUGAGAUACGGGCCAGACUCCUACGGGAGGCAGCAGUAGGGAAUAUUGGACAAUGGGCGAAAGCCUGAUCCAGCCAUGCCGCGUGUGUGAAGAAGGUCUUCGGAUUGUAAAGCACUUUAAGUUGGGAGGAAGGGCGCUCGGUGAAUACCCAGGCGUCUUGACGUUACCGACAGAAUAAGCACCGGCUAACUUCGUGCCAGCCGCCGCCGUAACAC
rnacentral:rRNA from 1 species